rnacentral:tRNA from 1 species
GCCUUCUUGGCUCAGUUGGUUAGAGCGCAGGUCUCAUAAUCCUGAGGUCGUGAGUUCGACCCUCACAGAAGGCA